GCCCAGGCUGCCGCUAUAAAGCGCCGGCCUGACGCACUGUAGGUGCCUGCGCAGGGGGAGCAGGGGCAAAACCAAGCGACGGGGAAACGGCCAGUCGCAGCCAAAUGGGCACGAACCCCCCCAUGCGCCGCGCGGAAUGAAUCCUUAGAGUGAACAAAUCAAUAUAUAGAUGUCUAGUGUCUUGGUCUUACUUGGACAUUUAGCUUCAAUGGCCUAAGGAUAUGAAGCAAUAAAAAGAGAACAUCUGAACAAGUCAAAUUGGAAAAAUAACCAAAAACCCUCAACCCCAAACCGGAUACCUGGAUCUCUCUAUUUUUAUAUGUCCUACAUUCUAUGAGCACAAAGAGUGGAGAAGACACAGAAUGUGCCAAAAUGAGGAUACCCACAUAUUUUCCAAUUACCUUGGCAGAAUUACGUCACCUCUCUGAACUUCUCUGGCCUUCUUGGCUGUCAGCAUGGAUUGAGAUGAGAGAAGGCACUGUAGCAAGAAUGGAAGUCAUAGGGAGAGAGCUGGAGCGAGAGCGAGCGGGAGCAUGCUAGGCUGGGGGAGUGGCAGGCUCCCCGCCUCGGAAGGAGCCUGAUGCGGGACUCGAUCCCAGGAUCCUGGGAUCAUGACCUGAGCUGAAGGAAGACACUUAACCGACUGAGCCACCCAGGCGUCCUUUUUUUUUUUUUCUUUUUGAAUUAAUUUCUUCUAAUUUCUGUCCGUGUUUUCUCCAGUCUAAGAGAAUUGGACAGAUCUGUAGGUCACUGUCACCAAAUAGCGAGACGUUUAGUAGCUCGAGGGUAUAGAGGCUGUUUUCUACACAUUUAGCAAAUGCAAUUUGUGUGUGUCGUCAAUGUAUCACCACAGAAAAAGACAGUAACAUUUUGCAAGUUCUUUUCAGACUUUGUCUUUGAUACCUUUGACAAUCUCUAAAGUUUUGAAAUAGUACUUUAUGGUAGUAAAAUUUUUCCUGUACAAUGUUUAUCUAUACAUAAGGCUGUUUAUUUGGAGUGGACGGGUGUGUUGGUUUCCUAGAGCCAAGGUAAUAAAAUACUACAAACUGGUAGAAACAGAAACUUAUUCCCUCAGGAUUCUGGGGGCUGAAAAUCCAAAUUCAAGGUGUCAACAGAGUUGAUUCUUCCUGAGGGCUUGCAGGAGACUCUGUUCUAUGUCUCUUUCCUAGCUUUUGCUGACAGACAGAAUUCUUGGGGUUUUGGGCUCCUAGAUGCAUCUGUCGCAUCUUCACCUCCAUCUGCAUGUGGCAUUCUCCCCACGUCUCUGCGUUUUUACACGGCUAUCUUCUUAGAAGGACAUCAACCAUCAUGGUUUAGGGGCCUACCUACACCAAUACAACCUCAUCCUAACUAAUUCCAUCUAUAAUGACCUAUUUCCAAAUAAGGUUGCAUUCUGAGGUACUGAGUUAGGAUUUCAACUUACCUUUUUGGCAGGGGACACAAUUCAACCCAUAACAGUGGGUCAGAGAUGAGCCUGAUAAUGGCUUGUGUUUUUUAUAAUAAAUACUCUGAUGGUUGAACUGUGUUGGAACAGCCUGUCAAAUAGCACCAUCAUCAAAUCAUCGCCUAGGACAUAGUGGGUACUCAGAUAUGUUUGUUAAAUGAAUGUUGCCACUGAGGAGAUCAGGACCAAAACACAAGGACCUCACUUACUGGCCUGGUCAAUGAGUCCGAUCAUGACUUCUCGCCACAUAGAAAUUGGGCAUUAGUCAGUUCUGAGGAUGAGAGAAACCUCUCCUGCUCCCCAGUUAUUGAGAUACAUAAGCCACUUAGGAGAAUGGUGGCCAUUUGGGCAGAAAUUAUUUCCAUUUUACUGAAAAGUUUCAAAAAGAAAAUGUUUAUCCUUAAAGCUUCAUUUCAGGUGAAAUCAUGUUUUAGACUUUUGGAUAGCUUUUAGGCCAAGGCAAUUGAGAGGAAAACAACUUUGUGAGGAAAACAACACAUAUUCCAAAAUGACAAUAAUAGGCAUUAUCAGGUGUUAGUACGUUCCAAAAUUAACAAAUUCCUCAUAAUUAAUUGAUAUUUGUAUUGCAUUUACUUCGUAUGUGUUUGCUUUUGAAAGAAUAUCCUCUGGAUCUCCUUCUGUUUAAGCCUUACUUUUCUUUAUUGUUGUUGUUUUUUAUUGUUGUAUAUAUUUCUUACUUUUCCUGUAUCUUUAUUGCCUACUUUCUAGGCUACCUCUUUAACUUACAUGUAUAUUAUGCUGUAAACAUGUGUAAAAUGUGUGAAAUUCCUACCCACUCUACUUUAAAUUUCUGUAAUGAGAAACCCAUAUAACACCAUAUGUUAACUAACUGGAAUUAAAAUAAAAAAUUAAAAAAAUACAUGUCUGUAAUGAAUACUAAAGAAGUCACGGACACAAUAAUUGUUGCUCAGUAAUGAGGUGGUUCCUAUUAAAGGUGAU